GGGGCUGAUCGGUUUCGACAGCGCCUGUGAAUCCACGAGAAGCGGGCCGAGGAUGCAGGGUUAUCUCGUGAACGCUCCCUGCAAAACAAUAAGUGCCAAUGCAAAGCGCACUGACUUCGCCCUCGCUGCGUAAGCGAGCCCGAUAGUCCGUCAGGCCGUAUGUGAUUCCGAUACGGAUC
rnacentral:tmRNA from 1 species